UAUGGUUUCUGUCGGAGGACAAACAUGACAAAAACAUUCUUAACGUUUUCCAAUGCUGUAAAAAAUGUGUAGAAUAAAUAUUAAAUUUCAACAUUUCUGUCAACGAGGAUUUGCGUCAUAGCCUGCGACACACCUUUCUAUUGGCAUGCCGGGAUGCCAGGCAGGUGGCUGUUGUCAGCAAACCGGCAUUUCGUGUAUAAUUCACCGAUGGUAGUGGCGAAGAAUGGAAAUCUGGAGGACCGAGAGAAGCAUUUUCAAACACUUGCUGCCAUUUUGAUCUCUACCGCACUCUGCUGUCGACUGAGAUUCACAUCAAAGUGCCCUCAAGCUCGCAUUGUGGACUUCAUGUGACCAAACCCGGAAAACAGGAUGGCCCCGUUCCAGGAGCGCAGAAGCAAUGCAAAGCGGGUGGGGGGGGGAACUGCGGCGCCUCUGGAUCGCUUUCCCCACGCCAGGGUCCAUCGGCGUCAAGGCCGCAUCAGCUGGUCCCAACGUGGCGAGGUCAUCUGAACAUCUGGCCCCUCCGCUGUGCUCUCUUAGGUCAGUGGGUAGCAUCUGUUGGUGGACCGCGCCACUUUCUACACGCGUGACAACGAAACCUCCCAAAAUGUGUCGGUUGAAUAUCCGUCGUGGGCGUAAAUCUAAAUAGUCUAUACACCCCUGAACAAAUGUCACCAAAAAUCAUUUCAAAACUUUUUUCUAACCUUGUGGCCUUUAGUCUCUACUCCCAUUUAACCUGCGUUUGAAUUCAGAACACCGUCUGAGGGUGUGCACACUUUUGCAAAUCUGAUUUCAGUUCGAUUUUUUUUUUUAAUGAAGGGG